UCCGUUUACAAGAAACUUGAUACACAUCAUACGAGAGUGUUAAAAAAUAAACUAAACAUACCAAAUACCAACGAGAUUUGUUUGGGAAAAGAUAUAUCCUAUCUUUUAUGCUUUCCUAGUUAGAUGAGGAUUGUAAAUAGGAAAUUAGAUAGAUUUUAUAUAUAUAAUCAAUCUAGGAUUAUUUAGGCUUGAGAAGCAAGUAAAAUAUCCUAAUUAAUGUGGGUUUCUAUGUUAGCCUAUAUAAGAGGGUUUAGGCUUACUAGAAAAUUAUGAUGGUUUUAUUGAGGAGGAAAAUCAUCCAGAGAGUUAUUAUUUUAUUUUGUAGGAACUUAAUAAAACAAUAUUUUGUUUGAGGGGGAGGAAAUCUAAAUUUCUCUCAUACACCUUGUCUCUUUUAUUAAUGUGUGACAUGCUCGUCUAGGACAUAAUUCUUCUAGGGCCAUAGGACAUUUGUGUUCAAAUAAUUUUAUUACCUAUAGUUUUAAGUUUAAAGAUGAUUGUGGUUGUUGCAAACUUGGAAAAAUUCACAGGCGAGGUUACCUUUAGAGAAUGUUGAUUAUAUUUUACCUUAUCCUUUAUAUUUGAUUCAUAGUGAUUUAUGGAAAUCUCCUAUUUUAUCAAAUCAAUCCUUUAAAUAUUACAUAUCUUUUGUUGAUGAUCUUUCUGGCUUUACUUACGAUUGAAAUCUGAAGCGUAGGAAAAAUUUAAGGUUUUUCAAACGACGGUUGAGAAUUUAUUUAAUUCAAAGAUAAAAAUUUUCCGGAGUGAUGGAGGGCGUGAGUUUGACAAUACUCUGUUACUUCAACAUUUCGAGGACUCCGGGAUUUUGUUCCAAAAGUCUUGCCAUGGAACACCUCAAGUACCUACCCUGCUACCUCAUUCUCCCCCAUUGAAUGAGUCCACCCAUCUUAGCCUACCUCAUUCUCCCCAUUUGUGUGAGUCUACCCAGACUAGUCCACCUAGCCCCCCUCACGGGGAGAUAUCUCCUGGAACUUCUGGUCAGCAAUCUGCACAUGUUCAUGGGAUCCAAUUCCCUGCACACACUUUGCAGUCCUCUGGCCACCACACCUUGCCCAUGUCCCCUAGUUCGAUCUUGUCACCUUCAACACCCAUUUCCCCUUCUUCUGUUUCUACUGUGUCAGUUCCUUUAGCAGAGUCACCUCCCCCUUCCACUGGUAUCUCUGCGUCAUGUGCGUCAAAUACUCAUAUUAUGACUACUCGUUUUAAAAGACGGAAUUUGGAAACCUCGUAAUUUUCUAAAUCUAAAAACAGGGGUCAUUGAAACACCACCUAAGUCUUACAAAAAGGCAACUAAGGACCCUCGUUGGUGCGAAGCUAUGGCCGAAGAGUAUAAUGCUAUGAUUACCAACGAUGCAUAGGGGUUAGUACCUCGCAAUUAUGAUAAAAACUUGCUCGGUUGUCAGUGGAUUUAUACAAUUAAAACUGAUUCCAAAGGAUAUGUGGUGCGGUACAAAGCUAGACUGAUCGUUCUCGGAAAUCAUCAACAGGCAGAUUGGGCUGGAUGCCCUGAUGAUCAACGGUCUACAACAGGUUAUGCUGCUUUUCUUGGGAAAAAUUUAAUUUCUUGGCAUUCAAAGAAGCAACCUACAGUUUCAAAGUCCUCCAAUCCACUGAAGCUGAGUAUCAUGCAGUUGCAUAUACAAUGGCUGAAACCAUAUGGCUACGACAAUUAUUAGCUGAUCUUGGUUAUUUUCUGCGUCGUCCAGUGAUACUAUAUUGUGAUAAUGUAUCAGCUACAUAUCUUACAGCUAAUCCAGUCAAGCAUGAUCGCAGUAAACAUAUUGAUGUUGAUUAUCAAUUUGUUCGUGUACUCCUACCCAUUUGCAGGUUGCAGAUUUUUUUACGAAAGGCCUUACAAAUGAUUUGUUUGUAAAUAUCGUACCAAUCUGUCCGUAGUUGCACCCCGUAAAGAUUGAGGGGGUGUGUUAGGGUAUUUAUACAUGUAAAGGACGGAAUGGUAUUUUCAUGGUAUUUUGUCUUAUGUAUUUAUCUAUAUAUAUAUAUAUAUAUUGCGAGACUCUCUAUUGAGGGUGAGUCGUAUUUUCCCAAA